AUUGAACGCUGGCGGCAUGCUUUACACAUGCAAGUCGAACGGUAACAGGCCGCAAGGUGCUGACGAGUGGCGAACGGGUGAGUAAUGCAUCGGAACGUGCCCAGUCGUGGGGGAUAACGCAGCGAAAGCUGCGCUAAUACCGCAUACGAUCUAUGGAUGAAAGCGGGGGACCGUAAGGCCUCGCGCGAUUGGAGCGGCCGAUGUCAGAUUAGGUAGUUGGUGGGGUAAAGGCCUACCAAGCCAACGAUCUGUAGCUGGUCGGGGAGGACGACCAGCCACAAUGGGAGCGAAACACGGCCCAGACUCCUACGAGAGGCAAAACUGGGGAAUAUUGGACAAUGGGGGCAGGCCUGAGCUGGCACUGACGCGUGCAGGAAGAAGGCCUUCGGGUUGUAACCUGCUUUUGUACGGAACGAAACGGUCCGGGUUAAUACCCUGGGCUAAUGACGGUACCGUAAGAGUAAGCGCUGGCUAAGUACGUGCAAGCAGCCGUCGUAAUAC
rnacentral:rRNA from 1 species